AACCCCGAUGUGCCAGCCAUCCUGGUUUUACUACGGCUCGGGGAAGCUCGCGCUACUAUUGUUCGUGUGUGUUGUGAUGCGAAGGGUGGGAGACUCGCAAACCUCCUACCUCAGGCCAGGUUCCCUGCCUGGCGCUCAUCCCUCGGAUUUGGAAUUGGCGACAGAUUUGCUGCCGUGAUUUCAUGGACUGUUAUGUACGGUUUCUUAUUUGCUCUUAAUGAUGGGAUCAUGUGCUCAACUGUCAUAAGUUUAGAUCGGGUUUUGCUAUGCCCUAAAAAAAAAAAACACCCACUAAAGUUCCAAAAUGUUAAUGUUUAAUAUCUGUUCAGUAUUCACCGGCUCACCCUGAGAAGGCCACUAACGUGCGGUGGUGGGUGGGGAGGGGCCGCUGUCUCGGGUUUAUAUUUGGAGCAGUGCAGCGUGGUGAACUUUGUGUGUGUGUGUGUGUGUGUGUGUGUGUGUGUGUGUGUAACGGUUUUGUGAGGGCCGGCAGCCAGAAAGUAAAUUCAUUCGUGCCAAUUUCAUCAGCAGGGAGGAGCCGAUGUUGACUUUAUGCUUUCCUUUUUAACACUUGCAGGGCGCAGAAGGGAAUAAAGGAGGGGGCUGUGGCGUGGUGUUAGCUGCCUUUCCCGUGGUCCACGGACUAUGUCUCUAUAUCAGAUCUGGGGGUUCUGCAGGGUAUCCCAGUGAUCUGUAAUGUUAAACAGCCCCAUAGCAGAAGGAGGCUGCUUCCUGGACUCUGUGCUGCGCAGACACUGUUCCACCUGGUUGAAGAUGUGAGGGCGUCGCUAGUACCCCAGAGGGCCCAGAGGCAGGCCAUACAGAGUACAUACAGGGGGAACACCGUUGAGAUGUACAGUGGUGGGUAAAGUGUGUGCUGUGGACAGUGCUCGAGGGGAUGAAGUCUGUAUUAGAAAACCUUUGCUGGAGUUAUUUGAUUGUGUCGAUGCUCAGAUGGGUUUUCUCCCUCACUCGUCAGCCCCUCAGAGCUCUAGUCUGUCAUCCUCACCGCUGUUGUAUGAUUCCCAGCACCCAUCACCCAUGCAUCAUCUCAAACAAGCAGUUCUGCUCUGUCUGCAUCUCUUCCAUCAGGACUCACGGGGAGAGGAUUCUUUAAAUUAGUUUUCAUGGAAAUAUCGGGAAAUAUUGUGGAAACACGUGGAAUUUUCAGUGCCCAGUUCCUACAGAGGAGGAUGGAAAAAACAAGUCCGUUUUAAGUGUCAUCACGGUAUCUCUGUUAGCAAAGGGGAGCCCCUGAACUCCACAGCACUGCUCACCUCCCCCUGUCAGCCUGGGAAAUAAGCGCGUAUUUGCCUCUCUGAAUCUGGGGCAGUGCUCUGAAUGUGCGUCCCGGCCCCCUCCUAUGCUGGGAGCGGUCACUCAUGGUCCCUUACGAACGUGUACAUGGGACACACUGCCCGGCUCGAUGGCACUCACCUGCCACCAGCUGUCGCUCUCGGAGGGUGAGUAAUAUGUUCCUGCUGCCCAGAGGAUGGCAAAACCACUUUAGACCAACGUGUGCUCAACCCCAUUCUCUGAACAGAUUUCAUAAAAGGGCUUAAUGAAUUUCUUAUUGAGUGUCUGGGCAGAGAAAGGGAUGUGUGUGUUUGCAUUCAGGAAGCACAUUAUUGUUUUUCUUUCUACGUAAACCUUGCUAGGCCUGGCCUGAAGAAUGAAAGAAUCAGAGGUUUGUGGCAUCGGCUGGUGUAGCCUCAGCCCCUCUGUGCCACCCCCACCCCCUUGUCUUGCUUUGUCCCUGCUGAGUUGAUAGAGUUGCUCUUUAAGGUCCUUUGGAAUUUCAGGUCUUAUAAGCACAUAAGUGGCUUAAAUGAGAUGAACCAGUUUGUUUUCCAGUAUUGCUUAGGAGAAACCAAUGAGUGGAAGGAUCAGAAAUCUGUAUCUCUCUACAUUUUGGAACUUAAAAAAUGCCCCAGCAUACCCGCUUCCACAGUGAAAAGUUAAAACCAGCCUUCGCGCCGAAUUACUUAAGUAUAUUGCUUUCACAUUUCCUGUUCCAUCAGGACUCAUGGGGAGAGGAUUCUUUAAAUUAGUUUUCAUGGAAAUAUUGGAAAAUAUUGUGGAAACAUGUGGAAUUUUCAGUGCUCGGUUCCUACAGAGGAGGAUGGAAAAAACAAGUCUGUUUUAAGCACAUCACGUCGGUUGAAAAAACAGGGUGGACUAUCAAAGUUCUUACGUGGCCUGUGGGCGGUUAAUGGUGCUCAUUAUUGGGAUUUGCAGACAGUGGCCCUGCUUUGGUUGCACUGUCUGCUGGGUAUUGCUAUCGAUGCUAAUAUUAUUUUGUUUUGGGGGGCCAUUGCCUGCAGAACUCAGGGUACAUUCCUGCUCUGCCGGUUGCCUCCUUGUUUCACUCUGCUGUGUGUUACGACCCAGUGCUCCCCUCACUGGGGAAAGCCAGCGCCUUUCCCUUAGAACAGCCUCGUCAGCAGAGAACAGGAGCUGUGGCAGGCGGCCCCGCCUGUGGGUACUAGCAGCUACAGUCGGUGUUGUGGGGCCAGGGAUGGUGGGUCUGCUCAAAUACUUGGGAUUGAAUGUGCGACGGGGAGGAAGCCAGCCAGUGAGCGGUCCGCUGCAGGAUGCCAGGUGGAGUGGCCGACACCCCUUUUCCUAGAUCAUUCUUUCUUCCCUUCUUUUGCCUUUUGGGAUCUUGCAUUUUUCUUCUUGGCUUUAAGAGGGCCCCCAAGUAGUUUCAUUAAUAAGUGAAUAAGCAUUUGGCUUAAGGAGUAACUUUAAAUGGAAAUACCAAAGUAGAGAGGAAACAGAAAACUUCUCAAAGACAGACUUGACUUGUUUAAAACACUCGUUUGUUGAUUGAGAUUGAGCAGUAAGUUUCUCUGUGAACGGAUGAUGCUCGUUUCUGGGGCUCUGCGUGCCCUGGACUUGCAGCCACAGGAGGCACUCGCCCCCCUCUUUCAGGAGUGGCUGGGCUCUUCUUUGGUAGAACUAGGGACGUUGCCUUGUGAUAUAGCCUGCGAAAGAUUUGUUGUUUGCACAAGAGACGUCUUUAUAAAAUAUACGGCAUGUCAAACCCUUUGUGGCUUUAGUUGUUGGUAUAACUACUUACUCCCUACCUUCUGCUUAUGGGGGUUACUCAGCUCAUGGCCUGCUUGGCUGAUUAAUAUGCCCAGUUACUUUACCUGCUCAUUUUAUUCCAUCAUAGAGUCCAACUCGAACAUUUUCUUAGUAAGUACGAAUCUGCUUGAGGAAGGAGGUGAAUGCUAACUGAAAUGUCGGCCUUUUGUGCUAGUCAAGGAACCAAUAAUUUUUUUAAAAAAAUUGCAGAUGAGCAGCGCACAAGCAGCUGGCACAUUCCUGUCGCCAAAGCCUAAGGUCUUCAUGAGAUGGCAUUUGGAAGCCCCUGUUCUUUCUUUGGAGGUCCCUGAUGCUACAGAGCUAACAGCUCUGCGGAAGCUUAAAGCGUAGGACCACCUUCCGAGGUUGGAACUGUUUCUGUGCCUAAUGAAGAGAUUAAAGACCAUGGGCAGAUCUAGCUAGUUGUGUCAGCACCAGAGCCAGGGAUUCCUUGCACACCCGUCCACAAUCACGCACAAUUAUUAUUAUGUUUUUACUGAAUUGUUUAGUUAGUCAAGUCAUAGAUUUUUCUAUUUAUUAGAGAAAAUUUGUAACAUUUAAAAUAAAAAAACUGCCUGAACAUCU